rnacentral:tRNA from 1 species
GCUGGUAUGGCUAGCUGUAGAGCGCUUGCAUAACAAGCAUGGAUCCUGAGUUCAAACCUCAGUUCCCAGUA